rnacentral:rRNA from 1 species
CAAGUCGAACGAGAAAGUGGAGCAAUCCAUGAGUAAAGUGGCGACCGGGUGAGUAACACGUGACCAAUCUACCCUCGAGUGGGGGAUAACUCCGGGAAACCGGGGAUAAUACCGCAUAACAUCUUCGGAACGGAAGUUCUGUUGAUCAAAGGAGCAAUUCGCUUGAGGAGGAGGUCGCGGCUGAUUAGCUAGUUGGCGGGGUAAUGGCCCACCAAGGCGAAGAUCGGUAUCCGGCCUGAGAGGGCGCACGGACACACUGGAACUGAAACACGGUCCAGACUCCUACGGGAGGCAGCAGUGGGGAAUUUUGCGCAAUGGGGGAAACCCUGACGCAGCAACGCCGCGUGGAGGAUGAAGUCCCUUGGGACGUAAACUCCUUUCGACCGGGACGAUUAUGACGGUACCGGUGGAAGAAGCCCCGGCUAACUUCGUGCCAGCAGCCGCGGUAAUACGAGGGGGGCAAGCGUUGUUCGGAAUUAUUGGGCGUAAAGGGCGCGUANGCGGUGCGGUAAGUCACCUGUGGAAUCUCU